GCGCUCAGUCAGUAGAGCAUGAGACUUUUACACUCAAGGUUGUGGGAUCGAGCCCCAGGUUGGGCA